GAUCAGGAGCAGCCGUGUCGCGGGGAUGGUCGUUGCUGAGCUCACGAUGACCGCCCGAUGGUGUCGGACCCCGCACCGCCGUCGGCACCGCGCUAAUGAUGUCACCGGAACCACGCCGUAGCGCCUAGUGCGUCGCCCUGUUUCACCGGGAGGAUGGAACUCGCCGUCCGCUCUCGGUCCCGAAGCAGCAGCGCGUGCCUUGGCCUUGAGGAGCUGCAGCCUCAACUCCACGUCUUUCAUGGUUGGCCUCGCCUCUCGCCUCAGAUCCAGACACUCCAGCGCCAGGCGAGCAAAGCACACGACCGCUUCCUUGCUCGCUUCCUCCCAGACCUGACCGUCCACUAUCUCCUCGAGAGGUUUCUCCUUGGCCUCCCACAGGUAGUUGGACAGGUUCUCCUUCUCGCCGUUCCCCUUCUCGAUGAUCGGCUUGUUCCUCGUCAGGAGCUCAGCGAGUAUCACUUCGAAGCUGUAGACGUCGCUCUUGUCAGUCAGCUGCCCCGUAUGGUAAUACUCCGGGUCCAGGUAGCCGAAGGUGCCCUGCACGGCGGUGAUGAUGGCGUACUCGCUGCCAUCGACCCACCUCCCCGGAGAGGACAUCCUCUUCUGCAUCGAUGUCGACCUCGAGGUCCACGCCAAGAUGAAGUCCGUUGUCGUAGCGUCCUCGGAUCCACGUCCACCGCGUCGCAGACCAAGGCCGACCGGGCCAAGCUCGACGUACGAGUGCAUCCUCUGCGCCUGCUGCUCCACCUCCUGCCCGUCCUACUGGUGGAACCCGGAGGAGUACCUCGGCCUGGCCGCGCUGCUCCACGCCAACAGGUGAACAGGGCUUCAGCAGGGACGCUGGUUUAGCAAUGGAGGCGAUCCAUUCCUUAUCUGCUUCAAAAUCAAGUUAUCCAAUGGUUGAUCUCACCCAACUCUUCAUGACAGCUACCCAGGAAAGGAAAAGAUUAGAAUCGCAAGGCCAGAUUCUCAGGGUGAUAUGCACUUCCAUGGGCACCCGACGACAUUAAAUUCACAAGAAUAAGAAACCCCCUCCACCUUAAGGGUUCAAGUAGGAGCCAACGAAGAAGCAAGCCCCAUCGUCAUCAUGGAAGGAGGAGGCCAUCCCACCCACGCUGACGAGGAGCCACCGAAGGAGAAGGCCCCACCACCCAAGGAGAAAGCCGCCCAAGGAAACCUUUUCAUUUCAGGUUGUUUAGAUCUACUAGAGCUUAAUUUAGUCAGACUAGAGACAGUUCGCCAUAUGUUGAUGAUCACCGUGACACUGUCGAAGAAGCCUCUGGAUACAUCAUCUCCAGGCUUUCCUGCUUAUCCCUACUACUCUAUAAGCACGCUUAGGGGCCCUGAUGCUCGGGGAAUCAAGGAAAUAUGGCACAACUAUUGUCCCUGGUCUGUAUGCACCAGUUCAUCUACAUUUCUUUGUUGCUCGUAUGGACAUGGCUGUUGAUUGCAAAUUGAAUGAGGUUCAUAACCAGGUGGUUGAGGUUAAUGUUAAGGUGGAAAGUGCAGGCACACAUAACAUGCACAAUAAUGAUUUCUAUGCUAAAGAGAAGUUGCUCAAAUCAAUGCGUGAUUGUGAUCCUUCGUCUUUGCGCCAUUGGAUUGUAAGAGUUGUUUUCUUGUUUUAUAUUUUUUUUGUUAUUCCUACCAUUGAAUUGGGCAUUCAAUACCUGUUCAUUAUCUUUAUGCUUAUGCAAUCCAAUAAUGAUGGAAAAUAACUGACUUGGCUGCUCUCUUGAGUUGUGGCAACGGAAGUUCCAGGCCCCAUUGCAGCACUACACUGCGCUAAUGGACCUUCAGGACUAUUCUGAGAAUGGAACUGUAACCGUGGUAUAUCGAGUGAUACUUAAAGGAACUGAUGGAGAGGCAUAUAGAGAUGCCACGGGCACAACACAGUUCCAUGAGGGGCGCAGGGAAGAUGCUGUUGCAGCCGCAGAGGAAGCUGCAUUCAGCAAAGCUUGCGCAUGGUUCGGUUUUGGCCUGUAUCUGUACCACCAGGAUGAAUCUCAUUACGACGACCACUUCCAUUGAGGCUCAAUCUGCAAAAGAGUUGAUCAUAAGUUGUAACAUGCGUUGGAUAUGCCCCUAGAAAACUUCGUAUCUAGAAUCAAUUUUUGGUCUUUGCGUAGUAUCAUACUCAUAACACAAAGAAGUGAACCUAUGUAGAUGCUAUUUGAAACCUUUUUAUUAAUAUUAUAAUUCUUAUU